AAAAAAAAAAACCAAAAAAAAUAAAAAAAAAUAGAGAACACCAGUUCAAUUAGAACAACUAACCCAUAAAAGAAAUGAGAAAUGCACGCCAACACAAAACAAAAGAACAGAUCACAAUAAAAUGGAUUAACAGUAAAUAUGUAGAAAAAAAAAAUUGAGCAACUAAAUUUGAAUUAUAGCAGAAAAAGAAAAAGCAGCAAUCAACUGUUUCCACAAAUUCAAUAAAAAAUAAAUAGGAGGUUUUAAUCUCUAGUGAACAGAUCACUGUUAAAACCAAAAGAAAGCUAAUUCAUAGCUCCAGUAGACCCAUUAUUAUUAUCUUAAAAGAAACAAUCAAUGCUCCGUCUUUAACAGAGCAAAACAAUAAACUUUCUCAAAAAUCAAUCAUUACUUGUGUAAAAGCAAAUUUCCAAGAAGAGAAAAAGAACCCACAUAUUUUCUUCCUUACCAAACAUCAUACUGUGCCAGCAGCAAGAAAA
rnacentral:misc_RNA from 1 species